rnacentral:rRNA from 1 species
GCGGAGGGAUCAUUACCGAGUUAUACAACUCAUCAACCCUGUGAACAUACCUAUAACGUUGCCUCGGCGGGAACAGACGGCCCCGUAACACGGGCCGCCCCCGCCAGAGGACCCCCUAACUCUGUUUCUAUAAUGUUUCUUCUGAGUAAACAAGCAAAUAAAUUAAAACUUUCAACAACGGAUCUCUUGGCUCUGGCAUCGAUGAAGAACGCAGCGAAAUGCGAUAAGUAAUGUGAAUUGCAGAAUUCAGUGAAUCAUCGAAUCUUUGAACGCACAUUGCGCCCGCCAGUAUUCUGGCGGGCAUGCCUGUUCGAGCGUCAUUACAACCCUCAGGCCCCCGGGCCUGGCGUUGGGGAUCGGCGGAAGCCCCCUGCGGGCACAACGCCGUCCCCCAAAUACAGUGGCGGUCCCGCCGCAGCUUCCAUUGCGUAGUAGCUAACACCUCGCAACUGGAGAGCGGCGCGGCCACGCCGUAAAACACCCAACCUCUGAAUGUUGACCUCGGAUCAGGUAGGAAUACCCGCUG